UGCGUAGGCGGUAUUUUAAGUCAGUGGUGAAAUGUUGCAGCUUAACUGUAGAGGUGCCAUUGAAACUGAGGUACUUGAGUUAUCUUGAGGUAGGCGGAAUGUGUAGUGUAGCGGUGAAAUGCUUAGAUAUUACACAGAACACCGAUUGCGAAGGCAGCUUACUAAGGGUAAACUGACGCUAAUGCACGAAAGCGUGGGGAUCGAACAGGAUUAGAUACCCUGGUAGUCCACGCCGUAAACGAUGAUGACUCGCUGUUGGCGAUACACAGUCAGCGGCUUAGCGAAAGCGUUAAGUCAUCCACCUGGGGAGUACGCUCGCAAGAGUGAA
rnacentral:rRNA from 1 species